GGGGCUGACUGGUUUUGACAGCAAGAUGAAGGGAUGUGUAAGCAUGUCGAGCAAUGGGGUUUCCGCUCGUUAAACAGGGACUUCAGCUUUAUAACUGGCAACAACAAUUACGCGCUUGCCGCUUAAUCGAUUCGAUAGAACGAUUUAGCCAAUCCACGUACUAGGUACGGGAGUGAGCCAUCUCUCAGAAUCCAUGUCUGACGGAGUCUGAUCAAGAGGUGCAGUAAGGUUAGACUAGGCAUUCCGAUGAUACUACAGGAUGUCGAAAAUUUAGUAUCUAAGCGUUCGCUAGGCUGUUCAUAGCCAGGCUUGCGUCGAAAACCCAACAAUGAACUAAGCAUGUAGAAAGCCCAUUUUUUCCUUGUUUGCACGCGGGUUCGAAUCCCGCCAGCUCCACAA
rnacentral:tmRNA from 1 species